CCUGGCUCAUGACGAACGCUGGCGGCGCGCCUAACACAUGCAAGUCGAACGGAGCUGAGAGGAGCUUGCUUUUCUUAGCUUAAUGGCGAACGGGUGAGUAACGCGUGAGUAACCUGCCCUGGAGUGGGGGACAACAGUUGGAAACGACUGCUAAUACCGCAUAACCCACGAUCCGGCAUCGGAUUGAGGGAAAAGGAUUUAUUCGCUUCAGGAUGGACUCGCGUCCAAUUAGCUAGUUGGUGAGGUAACGGCCCACCAAGGCGACGAUUGAUAGCCGGACUGAGAGGUUGAACGGCCACAUUGGGACUGAGACACGGCCCAGACUCCUACGGGAGGCAGCAGUGGGGGAUAUUGCACAAUGGGGGAAACCCUGAUGCAGCGACGCCGCGUGGAGGAAGAAGGUUUUCGGAUUGUAAGCUCCUGUCGGUAGGGACGAUACUGACGGUACCUAACAAGAAAGCACCGGCUAACUACGUGCCAGCAGCCGCGGUAAAACGUAGGGUGCAAGCGUUGUCCGGAAUUACUGCGUGUAAAGGAAGCGCAGGCGGACCGGCAAGUUGGAAGUGAAAACUAUGGGCUCAACCCAUAAAUUGCUUUCUAAACUGCUGGCCUUGAGUAGUGCAGAGGUAGGUGGAAUUCCCGGUGUAGCGGUGGAAUGCGUAGAUAUCGGGAGGAACACCAGUGGCGAAGGCGACCUACUGGGCACCAACUGACGCUGAGGCUCGAAAGCAUGGGUAGCAAACAGGAUUAGAUACCCUGGUAGUCCAUGCCGUAAACGAUGAUUACUAGGUGUUGGAGGAUUGACCCCUUCAGUGCCGCAGUUAACACAAUAAGUAAUCCACCUGGGGAGUACGACCGCAAGGUUGAAACUCAAAGGAAUUGACGGGGGCCCGCACAAGCAGUGGAGUAUGUGGUUUAAUUCGAAGCAACGCGAAGAACCUUACCAGGUCUUGACAUCCGAUGCAUAGCUUAGAGAUAAGUGAAGUCCUUCGGGACAUCGAGACAGGUGGUGCAUGGUUGUCGUCAGCUCGUGUCGUGAGAUGUUGGGUUAAGUCCCGCAACGAGCGCAACCCUUAUUGCCAGUUACUACGCAAGAGGACUCUGGCGAGACUGCCGUUGACAAAACGGAGGAAGGUGGGGAUGACGUCAAAUCAUCAUGCCCUUUAUGACCUGGGCUACACACGUACUACAAUGGCGUUUAACAAAGAGAAGCAAGACCGCGAGGUGGAGCAAAACUCAAAAACAACGUCUCAGUUCAGAUUGCAGGCUGCAACUCGCCUGCAUGAAGUCGGAAUUGCUAGUAAUCGCGGAUCAGCAUGCCGCGGUGAAUACGUUCCCGGGCCUUGUACACAC
rnacentral:rRNA from 1 species